UACGUAGGGGGCAAGCGUUGUCCGGAUUUAUUGGGCGUAAAGAGCUUGUAGGCGGUUAGGUAGGUCCGUUGUGAAAACUCGAGGCUCAACCCCGAGACGCCGAUGGAAACCAUCUGACUAGAGUCCGGAAGAGGAGAGUGGAAUUCCUGGUGUAGCGGUGAAAUGCGCAGAUAUCAGGAAGAACACCCGUGGCUAAGGCGGCUCUCUAGUACGUGACUGACGCUGAGACGCGAAAGCGUGGGGAGCGAACAGG
rnacentral:rRNA from 1 species